UGCAUCUUGUCAUCUGUUGCUUAA
rnacentral:siRNA from 1 species